CGCGGCCUAUCAGCUUGUUGGUGGGGUAGUGGCUUACCAAGGCUUUGACGGGUAGCCGGCCUGAGAGGGUGACCGGCCACAUUGGGACUGAGAUACGGCCCAGACUCCUACGGGAGGCAGCAGUGGGGAAUAUUGCACAAUGGGCGGAAGCCUGAUGCAGCAACGCCGCGUGCGGGAUGACGGCCUUCGGGUUGUAAACCGCUUUCGCCUGUGACGAAGCGUGAGUGACGGUAAUGGGUAAAGAAGCACCGGCUAACUACGUGCCAGCAGCCGCGGUGAUACGUAGGGUGCGAGCGUUGUCCGGAUUUAUUGGGCGUAAAGGGCUCGUAGGUGGUUGAUCGCGACGGAAGUGUAAUCUUGGGGCUUAACCCUGAGCGUGCUUUCGAUACGGGUUGACUUGAGGAAGGUAGGGGAGAAUGGAAUUCCUGGUGGAGCGGUGGAAUGCGCAGAUAUCAGGAGGAACACCAGUGGCGAAGGCGGUUCUCUGGGCCUUUCCUGACGCUGAGGAGCGAAAGCGUGGGGAGCGAACAGGCUUAGAUACCCUGGUAGUCCACGCUGUAAACGGUGGGUACUAGGUGUGGGGUCCAUUCCACGGGUUCCGUGCCGUAGCUAACGCUUUAAGUACCCCGCCUGGGGAGUACGG
rnacentral:rRNA from 1 species